ensembl:lncRNA
GGAAAACGGUAACGCUGCAGUUUAAAUUAUAGAAGUGUUAAAGUGUUUUUGACCUCGGAUGCGUGUAGAUCUAUCGUAGGAGACAAAAUUAGGCACGUUUCAAAUCCGUAAUAGGUGCGCUUUAAUUCUACACUGCUCAAUUGUGUUUAUUGGGAUGUUCAUCAGAAGACAGCGGAUUAGAUAAUCUUAUAAUCCGUUAACAGUAGAAUGAGUGACAGGAAGUACAAGAAUGACUUCAGUCGUCAUGUGAACAGCACUGACUAAUGUCAGACAAGAAAACACCACAUCAUCACAGCAGGACAGGAAGAACAGCUGUCACUCCAGUGUUUGAGCUUGAUGGUGAGGAACAACCCAACAGCGACCUCUAGAGGUAAAACAUAACCAUACACACAAACACAAACACAUCCCAGUGCAAUUAUUCAGCAUUACACCAUGGACAAUUUUCAUUAAAGUUAAUGUAAUGUUAUAUAACAGUGGUUCUCAAGCUUUUUUUGUUUGUUUGUUUUUUAUCCAGGGAGCCUUUUAACUGUAAAACAUA